rnacentral:rRNA from 1 species
UACGUAGGGGGCGAGCGUUGUCCGGAGUUACUGGGCGUAAAGCGCUUGUAGGCGGUCCACCAAGUUUGGGGUGACAGUUGCCGACUUAAUCGGCAAAGUGCCUCAAAGACUGGCGGACUUGAGGGCCACAGAGGGACAUGGAACUCCAGGUGUAGUGGUGAAAUGCGUAGAUAUCUGGAAGAACACCAAAGGCGAAGGCAGUGUCCUGGGUGGUCGCUGACGCUGAGGCGCGACAGCGCGGGGAGCAAACAGG